UUCGGGGUGGAAAAAUCUAUUUUUUGGAACAGAAUUGUCUGGCAGCGUAACUGUGGUAGGCGUGACCGUAUCCAACCAAAAAGCCUCGGCAACUUACGUGGCUGCAGCCGCGGUAAUAAGUUAGUUGCCAAGCUUUAUCCGGAUUUAUUGGGCGUAAAGCGAGCGCAGGCGGUUUUUUUAAGUCUGAUGUGAAAGCCCUCGGGUUAACCGAGGAAGCGCAUCGGAAACUGGGAAACUUGAGUGCAGAAGAGGACAGUGGAACUCCAUGUGUAGCGGUGAAAUGCGUAGAUAUAUGGAAGAACACCAGUGGCGAAGGCGGCUGUCUGGUCUGUAACUGACGCUGAGGCUCGAAAGCAUGGGUAGCGAACAGGAUUAGAUACCCUGGUAGUCCAUGCCGUAAACGAUGAAUGCUAGGUGUUGGAGGGUUUCCGCCCUUCAGUGCCGCAGCUAACGCAUUAAGCAUUCCGCCUGGGGAGUACGACCGCAAGGUUGAAACUCAAAGGAAUUGACGGGGGCCCGCACAAGCGGUGGAGCAUGUGGUUUAAUUCGAAGCAACGCGAAGAACCUUACCAGGUCUUGACAUCUUUUGAUCACCUGAGAGAUCAGGUUUCCCCUUCGGGGGCAAAAUGACAGGUGGUGCAUGGUUGUCGUCAGCUCGUGUCGUGAGAUGUUGGGUUAAGUCCCGCAACGAGCGCAACCCUUAUGACUAGUUGCCAGCAUUUAGUUGGGCACUCUAGUAAGACUGCCGGUGACAAACCGGAGGAAGGUGGGGAUGACGUCAAAUCAUCAUGCCCCUUAUGACCUGGGCUACACACGUGCUACAAUGGAUGGUACAACGAGUUGCGAGACCGCGAGGUCAAGCUAAUCUCUUAAAGCCAUUCUCAGUUCGGACUGUAGGCUGCAACUCGCCUACACGAAGUCGGAAUCGCUAGUAAUCGCGGAUCAGCACGCCGCGGUGAAUACGUUCCCGGGCCUUGUACACACCGCCCGUCACACCAUGAGAGUUUGUAACACCCGAAGCCGGUGGCGUAACCCUUUUAGGAGCGACCGUCAAACUAC
rnacentral:rRNA from 1 species